rnacentral:rRNA from 1 species
CUUUAGAGUUUGAUCCUGGCUCAGGACGAACGCUGGCGGCGUGCUUAACACAUGCAAGUCGAACGAUGAUGCCCAGCUUGCUGGGCGGAUUAGUGGCGAACGGGUGAGUAAUACGUGAGUAACCUGCCCUUGACUCUGGGAUAAGCCUGGGAAACUGGGUCUAAUACUGGAUACUACCUCUUGCCGCAUGGUGGGUGGUGGAAAGGGUUUUACUGGUUUUGGAUGGGCUCACGGCCUAUCAGCUUGUUGGUGGGGUAAUGGCUCACCAAGGCGACGACGGGUAGCCGGCCUGAGAGGGUGACCGGCCACACUGGGACUGAGACACGGCCCAGACUCCUACGGGAGGCAGCAGUGGGGAAUAUUGCACAAUGGGCGGAAGCCUGAUGCAGCGACGCCGCGUGAGGGAUGACGGCCUUCGGGUUGUAAACCUCUUUCAGUAGGGAAGAAGCGAGAGUGACGGUACCUGCAGAAGAAGCGCCGGCUAACUACGUGCCAGCAGCCGCGGUAAUACGUAGGGCGCAAGCGUUGUCCGGAAUUAUUGGGCGUAAAGAGCUCGUAGGCGGUUUGUCGCGUCUGCUGUGAAAGCCCGGGGCUCAACCCCGGGUCUGCAGUGGGUACGGGCAGACUAGAGUGCAGUAGGGGAGACUGGAAUUCCUGGUGUAGCGGUGAAAUGCGCAGAUAUCAGGAGGAACACCGAUGGCGAAGGCAGGUCUCUGGGCUGUUACUGACGCUGAGGAGCGAAAGCAUGGGGAGCGAACAGGAUUAGAUACCCUGGUAGUCCAUGCCGUAAACGUUGGGCACUAGGUGUGGGGGACAUUCCACGUUUUCCGCGCCGUAGCUAACGCAUUAAGUGCCCCGCCUGGAGACGCCC